rnacentral:lncRNA from 1 species
CAGCGCUGCAGAUAAUUCCUUUUCGGAGAACCUACAUUUCUCACCUGCUGAUUGCAAUUAGCCACUGCCAGCUGGGGCCUGGUGUGCAGCUGAAAAGCUAACAAGAAGUGGAGACCACGCGGAACCCAGACAGGGCAGAGGAGGUGCCUCUCGAGGAAUGAAGAGCCUUCCUGUAUGAUUUUUUCCACUUAGUGAAGGACCAAGAGCCACAGAAUCUGGAUGGCCUUUUGACAUUAUGUGGAAGAUCUGGAGACGC